AUUGAACGCUGGCGGCAGGCUUAACACAUGCAAGUCGAGCGGAGAUGAGGUGCUUGCACCUUAUCUUAGCGGCGGACGGGUGAGUAAUGCUUAGGAAUCUGCCUAUUAGUGGGGGACAACAUUCCGAAAGGAAUGCUAAUACCGCAUACGUCCUACGGGAGAAAGCAGGGGAUCUUCGGACCUUGCGCUAAUAGAUGGGCCUAAGUCGGAUUAGCUAGUUGGUGGGGUAAAGGCCUACCAAGGCGACGAUCUGUAGCGGGUCUGAGAGGAUGAUCCGCCACACUGGGACUGAGACACGGCCCAGACUCCUACGGGAGGCAGCAGUGGGGAAUAUUGGACAAUGGGGGGGACCCUGAUCCAGCCAUGCCGCGUGUGUGAAGAAGGCCUUAUGGUUGUAAAGCACUUUAAGCGAGGAGGAGGCUACUGAGACUAAUACUCUUGGAUAGUGGACGUUACUCGCAGAAUAAGCACCGGCUAACUCUGUGCCAGCCGCCGCCGUAAUAC
rnacentral:rRNA from 1 species